rnacentral:rRNA from 1 species
CAGCAGCCGCGGGAAAACAGAGGGUGCGAGCGUUAAUCGGAUUUACUGGGCGUAAAGCGUGCGUAGGCGGCUUUUUAAGUCGGAUGUGAAAUCCCUGAGCUUAACUUAGGAAUUGCAUUCGAUACUGGGAAGCUAGAGUAUGGGAGAGGAUGGUAGAAUUCCAGGUGUAGCGGUGAAAUGCGUAGAGAUCUGGAGGAAUACCGAUGGCGAAGGCAGCCAUCUGGCCUAAUACUGACGCUGAGGUACGAAAGCAUGGGGAGCAAACAGGAUUAGAGACCCCUGUAGUCCCUGUCUCUUAUAC